ensembl:lncRNA
CACCCAUUCACUGCAGAGGAUCCAUUAGUGAGCAAGUGAUGGAAUGCUACAUUUCUCCAGAUCUCUUCAGAUGAAGAAACAAAGUCUUAGAUGGCCUGAGGGGUCUUUGAUGUGGUCAACACCAGCACAUCAACCUCAUUUUAACACAUCUGUUACCCACAACAGCCAUGGAAAAGGCUUUCUGAACUCAUCAGGAUGUCAAGGCAAGCAUCACUGUUAUUAUUGUACAUACUCAGGGUUAGGAUUUAAGCAUAUGUCUAAUUGGUGUGUAGCUCGACCCAUAAUGUUUGUGCCACAUCGACAAACCACUACCAUGAGAUUUGUAUUGGCACCACUCAAUCCUAAAAAAAAAGUAAAUAUGUAGUUUCUUCAAGACCCGGUGAUAAUAAAACUGGAGUUUUGUAGCUGCUAAUUAAUGUC